AAACCAAACGACGGGUUAAGGGGCCCGAUGCAGGACGCUCAUGAGACCCCAUGAAAGGUGUUGGUUGCUAUAGACAGCAGGACGGUGGCCAUGGAAGUCGGAAAUCCGCUAAGGAGUGUGUAACAACUCACCUGCCGAAGCAACUAGCCCUGAAAAUGGAUGGCGCUUCAGCGUCGACCCCCAUACCCGUCCGCCGCGGCGGAGAUGCGAAUCGCAUUAUGCCGCGGUGAGUAGGAGGGCGCGGGGGCGAGCGUGGAAGGUGCCGGGCGUAAGCCCGCCUGGAGCCGCCCCCGGUGCAGAUCUUGGUGGUAGUAGCAAAUACUCAAGUGAGAACCUUGAGGACUGAGGUGGAGAAGGGUUCCAUGUGAACAGCAGUUGAACAUGGGUCAGUCGGUCCUAAGGGAUGUCCGAAAGGAUUUCCGAAGGGGGACUUUGUUGAGGUCCCGCCCAUGACCGAAAGGGAAUCGGGUUAAUAUUCCCGAACCCGGACACGGAGAUCGGCCCCCUCGGGGGCACGUGCGGUAACGCAAUCGACCUCGGAGACGUCGACGGCGGUCCCGGGAAGAGUUGUCUUUUCUUUGUAAGGGUUCGGCUCCCUGGAAUCGGCUCGCCCGGAGAUAGGGAUGCUGAGCCCGUAAAGCACCGCGCCUCUUGCGGUGUCCGGAGCGCUACCGUCGGCCCUUGAAAAUCCGAGCGAGAGUUGGUGAUUUUCGUGCCGGACCGUACCCAUAUCCGCAGCA
rnacentral:rRNA from 1 species